rnacentral:tRNA from 1 species
UCCCUGGUGGCUCAACUGGUAAAGAAUCCGCCUGCAAUGCGGGAGACCUGGGUUCGAUCCCUGGGUUGGGAA